rnacentral:rRNA from 1 species
UAUCGUUUAUUUGAUAGUACCUUACUACAUGGAUACCUGUGGUAAUUCUAGAGCUAAUACAUGCUAAAAACCCCGACUUCAGGAAGGGGUGUAUUUAUUAGAUAAAAAACCAACGCCCUUCGGGGCUCCUUGGUGAAUCAUAAUAACUUAACGAAUCGCAUGGCCUUGCGCCGGCGAUGGUUCAUUCAAAUUUCUGCCCUAUCAACUUUCGAUGGUAGGAUAGUGGCCUACCAUGGUGGCAACGGGUAACGGGGAAUUAGGGUUCGAUUCCGGAGAGGGAGCCUGAGAAACGGCUACCACA